UGCCUCCAUUUCCAAAUUCUUCUGGAUCUCUUCAUCCUUUCUAAUCUCCUCAACCACAAUGUGCUUUGUCUCUGCCUUCCUUUCCUCCAAUCGCCGUUUUCUCAAUUCCUCAAGAGACCUUUCCUCCUCUUCAAUACGCUCCCGUUCGGCAAUAGUUUCUCUCUCUGAUUUCGGAACAAAUAUUGGCUUCACCAUUGUUAUCCCAGUAGGUUCAUCUUCUGAAUCAGUUUCAUACUCAGACUCCUCUUCUUCCUCUUCCUCUGGUUCCUCCUCCUCUUCUUCUUCAGGGAAUGCAGCUUCUUCUAGCUCCCUUUGUCGCAACUUUUCCUUGAUUCUUCUUCUUCUUUCCUCCAAAGCCUCCUCAUCCUCUUCCUCUGCAUCUAAACCCUCCUGCUUCCGCGUUUCCUCUUCAAUGGUUGAAACAA
rnacentral:misc_RNA from 1 species